rnacentral:rRNA from 1 species
GCCUGAAUCAGCAUGUGUGUUAGUGGAAGCGUCUGGAAAGGCGCGCGAUACAGGGUGACAGCCCCGUACACAAAAGCGCAUGUGCUGUGAGCUCGAUGAGUAGGGCGGGACACGUGGUAUCCUGUCUGAAUAUGGGGGGACCAUCCUCCAAGGCUAAAUACUCCUGACUGACCGAUAGUGAACCAGUACCGUGAGGGAAAGGCGAAAAGAACCCCGGCGAGGGGAGUGAAAAAGAACCUGAAACCGUGUACGUACAAGCAGUGGGAGCCCCACCACUAAGCCAGUGGUGAACUCCACAUACGCAUCCUUUGCUGAGGAUACGGUUAACGGAGCGAAAGCGACGUUCAACCUCAAAAGAAGCAGAGGGGGCUUAGUGGUGGGGUGACUGCGUACCUUUUGUAUAAUGGGUCAGCGACUUAUAUUCUGUAGCAAGGUUAACCGUAUAGGGGAGCCGUAGGGAAACCGAGUCUUAAC